ACUCCUACGGGAGGCAGCAGUCGAGAAUCUUCCGCAAUGGGCGAAAGCCUGACGGAGCGACGCCGCGUGCAGGAUGAAGGCCCUCGGGUUGUAAACUGCUGUCAAAUGUUAGGAAUGGUUAGUCGCUAAUAACGGCUAACUUGACAAAGGCAUGAGAGGAAGUCACGGCUAACUUCGUGCCAGCAGCCGCGGUAAGACGAAGGUGGCAAGCGUUGCUCGGAAUCACUGGGCAUAAAGCGCGCGUAGGUGGCUUGAUAAGUCGGUGGUGAAAUCCCAUGGCUCAACCAUGGAACUGCCGUCGAUACUGUCAGGCUUGAGGGCGGUAGGGGAGAGUGGAACUCCU
rnacentral:rRNA from 1 species